UGCAGAGAGUAGAGGAUAGAUCCUGAAUUUGCUUGCUAGAGCGCAUCUAUCACAAUAAUUGAUUAGAAGGCACCAGGUGAAACAACCACAAGCAGGGGAUGGAAGGUCGCAGAUGGAGAAGAAACCCCAAGCAAAUUGGGAGUCCCUGAUGCCAAGUAACAAAAGUGCCAGUCCUGCACCCUUGGCCGUCCCUGACGAGCCCACUAUUACUAAUGGUGGAUGGCGUGCCUCUCAAUGGACGGUUGCUUCUCAUGGGGUGGAUUCGUCUCCUCCCCCCUCCUAG